rnacentral:rRNA from 1 species
AGAGUUUGAUCAUGGCUCAGGAUGAACGCUAGCUACAGGCUUAACACAUGCAAGUCGAGGGGCAGCAUGGUCUUAGCUUGCUAAGGCCGAUGGCGACCGGCGCACGGGUGAGUAACGCGUAUCCAACCCUGCCUUACUACGUCUUAGGUACAGACCUUACUGAAAGGGACGAUUAAUACAAGAUGUUAUCAUGAGUAAGACAUUUUCGACAUUGAUUAAAGGUUUACCGGUGUAAGAGUGGGGAUGCGUUCCAUUAGAUAGUAGGCGGGGUAACGGCCCACCUAGUCUUCGAUGGAUAGGGGUUCUGAGAGGAAGGUCCCCCACAUUGGAACUGAGACACGGUCCAAACUCCUACGGGAGGCAGCA